rnacentral:rRNA from 1 species
AUUGAACGCUGGCGGCAUGCUUUACACAUGCAAGUCGAACGGUAACAGGGAGCUUGCUCCGCUGACGAGUGGCGAACGGGUGAGUAAUGCGUCGGAACGUGCCGAGUAGUGGGGGAUAACGCAUCGAAAGGUGUGCUAAUACCGCAUACGUACUGAGGUAGAAAGUGGGGGACCUUCGGGCCUCACGCUAUUCGAGCGGCCGACGUCUGAUUAGCUAGUUGGUGAGGUAAAGGCUCACCAAGGCGACGAUCAGUAGCGGGUCUGAGAGGAUGAUCUGCCACACUGGGACUGAGACACGGCCCAGACUCCUACGGGAGGCAGCAGUGGGGAAUUUUGGACAAUGGGCGAAAGCCUGAUCCAGCCAUGCCGCGUGUCUGAAGAAGGCCUUCGGGUUGUAAAGGACUUUUGUCGGGGAGGAAAUCCCCAGCGUUAAUACCGCUGGGGGAUGACAGUACCUGAAGAAUAAGCACCGGCUAACUUCGUGCCAGCAGCCGCCGUAAAAC